CCUACGGGUGGCAGCAGUGAGGAAUAUUGGUCAAUGGACGCAAGUCUGAACCAGCCAUGCCGCGUGCAGGAAGACGGCUCUAUGAGUUGUAAACUGCUUUUGUACGAGGGUAAACGCAGAUACGCGUAUCUGUCUGAAAGUAUCCUACGAAUAAGGAUCGGCUAACUCCGUGCCAGCAGCCGCGGUAAUACGGAGGAUUCAAGCGUUAUCCGGAUUUAUUGGGUGUAAAGGGUGCGUAGGCGGUCGGAUAAGUUAGAGGUGAAAUCCCGAGGCUCAACUUCGGAAUUGCCUCUGAUACUGUUAGGCUAGAGAGUAGUUGCGGUAGGCGGAAUGUAUGGUGUAGCGGUGAAAUGCGUAGAGAUCAUACAGAACACCGAUUGCGAAGGCAGCUUACCAAGCUACGUCUGACGUUGAGGCACGAAAGCGUGGGGAGCAAACAGGAUUAGAUACCCGAGUAGUC
rnacentral:rRNA from 1 species